UACGGGAGGCAGCAGUGAGGAAUAUUGGACAAUGGGUGAGAGCCUGAUCCAGCCAUCCCGCGUGAAGGACGACGGCCCUAUGGGUUGUAAACUUCUUUUGUACAGGGAUAAACCUUUCCACGUGUGGAAAGCUGAAGGUACUGUACGAAUAAGCACCGGCUAACUCCGUGCCAGCAGCCGCGGUAAUACGGAGGGUGCAAGCGUUAUCCGGAUUUAUUGGGUUUAAAGGGUCCGUAGGCGGAUCUGUAAGUUAGUGGUGAAAUCUCGCAGCUUAACUGCGAAACUGCCAUUGAUACUGCAGGUCUUGAGUGUUGUUGAAGUAGCUGGAAUAAGUAGUGUAGCGGUGAAAUGCAUAGAUAUUACUUAGAACACCAAUUGCGAAGGCAGGUUACUAAGCAACAACUGACGCUGAUGGACGAAAGCGUGGGGAGCGAACAGGAUUAGAUACCCUGGUAGUCCACGCCGUAAACGAUGCUAACUCGUUUUUGGGGCGCAAGCUUCAGAGACUAAGCGAAAGUGAUAAGUUAGCCACCUGGGGAGUACGUUCGCAAGAAUGAAACUCAAAGGAAUUGACGGGGGCCCGCACAAGCGGUGGAUUAUGUGGUUUAAUUCGAUGAUACGCGAGGAACCUUACCAAGGCUUAAAUGGGAAUUGACAGGUUUAGAAAUAGACUUUUCUUCGGACAAUUUUCAAGGUGCUGCAUGGUUGUCGUCAGCUCGUGCCGUGAGGUGUUAGGUUAAGUCCUGCAACGAGCGCAACCCCUGUCACUAGUUGCUAACAUUCAGUUGAGGACUCUAGUGAGACUGCCUACGCAAGUAGAGAGGAAGGUGGGGAUGACGUCAAAUCAUCACGGCCCUUACGCCUUGGGCCACACACGUAAUACAAUGGCCGGUACAGAGGGCAGCUACACAGCGAUGUGAUGCGAAUCUCGAAAGCCGGUCUCAGUUCGGAUUGGAGUCUGCAACUCGACUCUAUGAAGCUGGAAUCGCUAGUAAUCGCGCAUCAGCCAUGGCGCGGUGAAUACGUUCCCGGGCCUUGUACACACCGCCCGUCAAGCCAUGGAAGUCUGGGGUACCUGAAGUCGGUGACCGUAAAAGGAGCUGCCUAGGGUAAAACAGGUAACUAG
rnacentral:rRNA from 1 species